AUCGCUUCUCGGUCUUUUGGCUAAGAUCAAGUGUAGCAUCUCUUCUUACCAGUUUAAUAUCUGGUGAUGAAAUAAUCUGUACAACAAACCCUCA
ensembl:snRNA U2 U2 spliceosomal RNA